rnacentral:rRNA from 1 species
CCGCGGUAAAACGUAGGACGCGAGCGUUAUCCGGAUUUACUGGGCGUAAAGCGCGGGCAGGCGGCUGUUCAAGUCGGAUGUGAAAUCCCCGGGCUCAACCUGGGAAUGGCAUUCGAGACUGGCAGGCUAGAGUCUGGUAGAGGGUGGUGGAAUUCCAGGUGUAGCGGUGAAAUGCGUAGAUAUCUGGAGGAACAUCAGUGGCGAAGGCGGCCACCUGGACUAAGACUGACACUGAGGUGCGAAAGCGUGGGUAGCAAACAGG